GACGAACGCUGGCGGCGUGCUUAACACAUGCAAGUCGAACGGAAAGGCCCUGCUUUUGUGGGGUGCUCGAGUGGCGAACGGGUGAGUAACACGUGAGUAACCUGCCCUUGACUUUGGGAUAACUUCAGGAAACUGGGGCUAAUACCGGAUAGGAGCUCCUGCUGCAUGGUGGGGGUUGGACAGUUUCGGCGGUUGGGGAUGGACUCGCGGCUUAUCAGCUUGUUGGUGGGGUAGUGGCUUACCAAGGCUUUGACGGGUAGCCGGCCUGAGAAGGUGACCGGCCACAUUGGGACUGAGAUACGGCCCAGACUCCUACGGGAGGCAGCAGUGGGGAAUAUUGCACAAUGGGCGGAAGCCUGAUGCAGCAACGCCGCGUGCGGGAUGACGGCCUUCGGGUUGUAAACCGCUUUCGCCUGUGACGAAGCGUGAGUGACGGUAAUGGGUAAAGAAGCACCGGCUAACUACGUG
rnacentral:rRNA from 1 species